GUCAAGGUGCACGAGUGCCGGAAGUACUGGGACGCAUUGAAAGAAUCGACCAGAAUUUAUUUGGAUAAGGAAAAAGUACGAAAAAUAUCCGAAAAAUCCGGUGCGCCGGCCGACAUGCUAGACAUGUAUACGGAAGACGGAUCGCAGCGUUUUGACAUUUACCAAGAGCGGUGGCCUUUGUCAGAUGCAAUGAGCUUCUUUUUACCCUCUUGUGCACGGACCGCGUACACAGUGUCAAUUGGAAAUCGUUCGGCAGCGACUGCACUUAAAAGACACGGAGAUGAGGAAGAGUGCUUGGAAGAGAGCUUCAUAGUUCCGGCGACACCAUCAACCUCUCGAAAACGUAUGCGUUCUAAUGAGCUUUUAGACGAAACGUUGUCUUCUGUGGCUACAUCUUUGUCUAAUUUGGUGAAUGCUCGAACAAAUGAAG